UCUAGAAUAGCUUAAAAUAAAGCACUGACUUUGUAACUCAGAGAUAAACUAAACCUUUUCUAGAU
rnacentral:tRNA from 1 species